UCCAUACUAUGUGCCAUGCCAAUUCAUGCGAUGAUGGCGUUGGACCUGCCCAUGAAAACGAUUGCAGCUAUGAACAAGAUAUGUAGGGGAUUCUUAUGGUGCAGAAGGAAGGAAGCUAAUGGUGGAAACUGUGUAGUUGCAUGGGAGACAGUGUGCACACCGAAAUGGGCAGGUGGUCUAGGAUUUCCUAACUUGCGCUAG
rnacentral:rRNA from 1 species